AAACUGAAACAAGAAGGCAGUGUUUUUUGUUUUGCUUAAUCUCAGCUGGGAUCAUGAGGGUUGGACAACUCUAAUUCUUUGCUGCCCUGUGUCUGUCUGCAAAUGACUAUGAGAGCGCUAUGACUUAUCCCUGGAGAUCAUAAAUUAUUAGAACCAGGAGUACACUUUAAGGUCAUCUAGUUCAGGAGUUGAACUUGGAAAUGUCUCCAGGGACCAAAUAGGCGGGAGGCCCAGGGACUCUGAGGUGAAGCACACAGAGGUAGCCACGCUGAGACACACUACCAGCCUGGGCCCAAGCCGGGCUUUCAGACAGCUCAGAAGACGUAUCUGACUUGGCCUCCUGGCCCAACAGAAGAUAACUGCCUGGCCGAAGUGGAAAUGGCAGUUCAAGACAAGAAAGGAGAGAAAUCCAAUAUGAUUCAGGUCAUUCACAGAAGAAAAGAAAAUGAAGCCAGUGUGGGGAGAAUGAGGGAGGAUUUAUAAAUCAAAGGAAAAUAUUACAACAGAAAAAUCAAGUGUUUUAGUCUGUUAUAACAAAGAGCCACGGACUGCAUGGCUUACGUAACAACAUAAAUGUAUUUCUCACAGUUCUAAAGGUUGGAAGUCUGAGAUCAGGGUGCCAGUUUGGUCAGAUUUCAGUGAGGAACCUCUUUUGGGUUGCAGGCCAUUUUAUGCUAUAUUCUCACACCGAGGGAAGGGAGAGGGAUCUCGCAGGGGUCUCUUUUAUAAAGACACUAAUUCCAUUCUUGAGGGAUCCACCUUCAUGACCUAAUUACCUCCUAAAGGCUGCACCUCUAAACACCCUCAUAUAGGGGAUUAGGUUUCAACACAUGAAUUGUGGCGACACACAAACAUUUAGUCUAUAGUGUUAAAUAUACGCAGGAGUUCAAAUUGCAAUUGGCCUAUGACCUGGCUCUGUGAUGGGUCAGUGGCCUUGCUGUCACCCUCUCAGAGAGAAUCCUCUAGGCAUUAGUCCUUGGUGGUCACAGCAGGAAUGCCCGUGAUCAAGGCCUAAAAGUCCCCUCGAGACUGGCAUCUUUGCUCUUCAUCCUAAAGGAUUCUUAAUACAUAUCCGGUGAUGAAAUGAAUAGAUAAAUUGCUUGAGU